GAUGAACGCUAGCGGGAGGCUUAACACAUGCAAGUCGAGGGGCAGCACGAGGUAGCAAUACUUUGGUGGCGACCGGCGCACGGGUGAGUAACGCGUAUGCAACCUACCCUGUACAGGGGGAUAACCCGGAGAAAUUCGGACUAAUACCCCAUAAAGAUAUUUAGAGGCAUCUUUGAAUAUUUAAAGUUCCGGCGGUACGGGAUGGGCAUGCGUAAGAUUAGCUAGUUGGUAAGGUAACGGCUUACCAAGGCAACGAUGUUUAGGGGUCCUGAGAGGGUGACCCCCCACACUGGUACUGAGACACGGACCAGACUCCUACGGGAGGCAGCAGUGAGGAAUAUUGGUCAAUGGGCGCAAGCCUGAACCAGCCAUCCCGCGUGAAGGAAGAAUGCGCUAUGCGUUGUAAACUUCUUUUCCAGGGGAAUAAAAUUUUGUACGUGUACGGAAUUGAAGGUACCCUGGGAAUAAGCAUCGGCUAACUCCGUGCCAGCAGCCGCGGUAAUAC
rnacentral:rRNA from 1 species